GGGCCCGUGGGGUAGCCUGGAUAUCCUAAGGGGCUUCGGACCCCUUGACCCGGGUUCAAAUCCCGGCGGGUCCG
rnacentral:tRNA from 1 species